GCAGAGGAAGAAGGUGAGGAAGAGGAGGUGUGAUGUAUGGCUCCACCUCUGAUACCAGAUUUCAGUCGGCCUUUAUGCUGUCAUUGCAAAUUUAAGAUGAAAACAAUUGUGAAUUUAUUUGUCACUGUUGCACAGACCUUGAUUUAAGUUUCCAGGAUGCCUCCAGCUUUAUACACAUUUGGAUUUUUACUGCUUGUGCUCACACGAAAAGUGGAGAGUGUAACCUUUGAACAGUCCUCUUCUCAAGUAGUGAAGGAAGGGACUGAGGAGCUCAGGAUCGACUGCAGCCAUGAUGACAGCAGCCUUAAUAGGAUGCUGUGGUACCAGCACCAACAGAGCGGUCGGUCUAUGAGCCUCAUUGGGUACACGGUCCUCCAGGGUACACCGGACUACGAGGAGCAGUUUAAAAGCAUCAGGUUCCAGAUUAAAGGAGGCACAAAGAGAGGAUCUCUGAUCAUUCACAAAGUGAAUUCAUCAAACUCAGCUGUGUAUUUCUGCGCUGCUAGUACACAGUGAUGUGGUUUAAUACAACUGCUUCACUAAAACCUCCUACCACUUACAACAGCUGCUGCUCAGAGGUUUACUCAUCUGAGAACUGAGAAUAUGAUGCUGUUUAAUGGCGUA